rnacentral:rRNA from 1 species
CCGGGAAGAGCUCAAAUUUGAAAUCUGGCGUCCUCAGGGCGUCCGAGUUGUAAUCUAUAGAGGCGUUUUCCGUGCCGGACCGUGUCCAAGUUCCUUGGAACAGGAUAUCAAAGAGGGUGACAAUCCCGUACUUGACACGACGACCGGUGCUCUGUGAUACGUCUUCUACGAGUCGAGUUGUUUGGGAAUGCAGCUCAAAAUGGGUGGUGAGUUCCAUCUAAAGCUAAAUAUUGGCGAGAGACCGAUAGCGAACAAGUACCGUGAGGGAAAGAUGAAAAGCACUUUGGAAAGAGAGUUAAACAGUACGUGAAAUUGUUGAAAGGGAAACGAUUGAAGUCAGUCGUGACCGAGAGGCUCAGCCGGCUCUGCCGGUGUAUUCCCCUCGGUCGGGUCAACAUCAGUUUUGUCCGGUGGAUAAGGGCGGUAGGAAGGUGGCACCCUCGGGUGUGUUAUAGCCUGCCGUCGCAUACAUCGGGUGAGACUGAGGAACGCAGCUCGCCUUUAUGGCCGGGGUUCGCCCACGUCCGAGCUUAGGAUGUUGACAUAAUGGCUUUAAACGACCCGUCUUGAAACACGGAC